rnacentral:lncRNA from 1 species
AUGUUCUACCAGCUGCCUGCCUUUCUUUUCCAGGAGGAGCAGAGAAGGUUAAAAAACCUAUUUAUGGUUGAAGAUUCCUUCCCAUUCACACUGUACUACAGUUAUGGAUCCCACAGAAGGGUCGACUGCCAUCUUAUUUUGAAUCCUAGGAGAGUUGGAUACAAGAAUGAAAGACAAAGACCUAUUCCAUUGAAGACAGUGAGAAAUUUCGGAGAUAUGGUGCUGCAUGGAGCUACUUUCCAAAUGUUCAGAUCCCUUAUUUAAGCAACAGUUAACAAACUAGAGUUUGGGAACUGCUUGAGAGUUCAGGCUGCCAUCAUGCCAAACCCAUGGAAACUGGAUAUGUUUCUGUGGUGACUUUAAUCUGGACCACACAUAGGAACAGGUUAAGCCAGAUUAUAUUGGCCAUCUGUCCAAGUCACACUAGGAUGUGAGGCAUCCACUAUUUCCUGACCUAACAACAGUUUGGAGAUCCCCAGAUUGAAAAGUAUGUCAUUGAAGUCUUGUGGUGUAGACCAAGGCUUAGGACCACCUGACUAAUCCAUAGCAAUCUUUGGACUUUCCCUUUGCUAGAAUUGAAGUACCUCUGGGAAGCCUUCCCUAAUGGUCAUGGUUGUUAAGCCUCACAAUGGACAGCGACUGCUCACUUUUCUGAACUUCUGAACCUAUUGUGUUCCUCUGGGAAUACAAUGCAUACCCAGUUGUCCUUCAUCUUCUC